rnacentral:rRNA from 1 species
GAUGAACGCUGGCGGCGUGCCUAAUACAUGCAAGUCGAGCGAACAGACGAGGAGCUUGUUCCUCUGACGUUAGCGGCGGACGGGUGAGUAACACGUGGAUAACCUACCUAUAAGACUGGGAUAACUUCGGGAAACCGGAGCUAAUACCGGAUAAUAUAUUGAACCGCAUGGUUCAAUAGUGAAAGACGGUUUUGCUGUCACUUAUAGAUGGAUCCGCGCCUCAUUAGCUAGUUGGUAAGGUAACGGCUUACCAAGGCAACGAUGCGUAGCCGACCUGGGAGGUUGAUCGGCCACACUGGAACUGAGACACGGUCCAGACUCCUACGGGAGGCAGCAGUAGGGAAUCUUCCGCAAUGGGCGAAAGCCUGCCGGAGCAACGCCGCGUGAGUGAUGAAGGUCUUCGGAUCGUAAAACUCUGUUAUUAGGGAAGAACAAAUGUGUAAGUAACUAUGCACGUCUUGACGGUACCUAAUCAGAAAGCCACGGCUAACUACGUG